GCCAAUGAGUGAGAUUUGGCUGUGGCAUUUGUCAUGCCAUCAUGUUUCAGGCUGACUCAGCUGAUGUGGCUACACAAUAUCUCCUUUCUUCCUCAAUACUCCAGGUGCCUCUGUUCCAAAACAGUAUGCUCAGUUGAUAAAGAUAAGUACUUCUCAUAGAAGAGGAUGGCCCUAGGUAAAGGGAAUAUGAGCAGCUGAUCUUUUAAACACAUUCCCUGUUCCCACUUCUAUGUCCCAAUCAGUUUUUCAAUUACCCUCAUUUCUAAAGUUGACUCUUCAACUGGAUGUAAAGUCUGUGUCC
rnacentral:snRNA from 1 species